rnacentral:rRNA from 1 species
GAUGAACGCUGGCGGCGUGCCUAAUACAUGCAAGUCGAGCGGUAAGGCUCCUGCAGUUUAUUUGAUUACGAUUGCGCUCGCAGAGUAACCAGUUUACUGGUAUACGAAGCGAAGGCAAUCACAACAGACCCAAUCAACCCCGGCUAGGGAAGAAACGGCGAGGGAAAAUCGAAUGAAGUGCUGGAGUACACGAGCGGCGGACGGCUGAGUAACGCGUAGGAACGUACCCCAAACUGAGGGAUAAGCACCAGAAAUGGUGUCUAAUACCGCAUGUGCUCUAAGGAGUAAAGCUUCGGCGGUUUGGGAACGGCCUGCGUACGAUUAGAUUGUUGGUGAGGUAAUGGCUCACCAAGUCGACGAUCGUUAGCUGGUCUGAGAGGAUGAUCAGCCAGACUGGGACUGAGAACGGCCCAGACUCCUACGGGAGGCAGCAGUAGGGAAUUUUCCACAAUGGACGAAAGUCUGAUGGAGCAACGCCGCGUGAGUGAAGAAGGGUUUC